UACGGGGGGGAGCAAGCGUUGUUCGGAAUCACUGGGCUUAAAGGGCGCGUAGGCGGUCCGACAAGUCAGGGGUGAAAUCCUGCAGCUUAACUGCAGAAGUGCCUUUGAUACUGUCGGUCUCGAGGGAGAUAGGGGUGUGCGGAACUUCCAGUGGAGCGGUGAAAUGCGUAGAUAUCGAGAGGAACACCGGUGGCGAAGGCGGCUUCCUGGACCGACACUGACGCUGAGGCGCGAAAGCUAGGGGAGCAAACGGG
rnacentral:rRNA from 1 species